rnacentral:rRNA from 1 species
GAUGAACGCUGGCGGCGUGCUUAACACAUGCAAGUCGAACGAAGCACUUUAUUUGAUUUCCUUCGGGACUGAUUAUUUUGUGACUGAGUGGCGGACGGGUGAGUAACGCGUGGGUAACCUGCCUUGUACAGGGGGAUAACAGUUGGAAACGGCUGCUAAUACCGCAUAAGCGCACAGCAUCGCAUGAUGCAGUGUGAAAAACUCCGGUGGUAUAAGAUGGACCCGCGUUGGAUUAGCUAGUUGGUGAGGUAACGGCCCACCAAGGCGACGAUCCAUAGCCGACCUGAGAGGGUGACCGGCCACAUUGGGACUGAGACACGGCCCAAACUCCUACGGGAGGCAGCAGUGGGGAAUAUUGCACAAUGGGCGAAAGCCUGAUGCAGCGACGCCGCGUGAGCGAAGAAGUAUUUCGGUAUGUAAAGCUCUAUCAGCAGGGAAGAUAAUGACGGUACCUGACUAAGAAGCACCGGUUAAAUACGUG